CCCUCGACUCGGGAGAGCGUAAAAGUUUGUCUCAGCUCCAGCAUCCCGAGCCUCAACACGCCCUCAGGUAAAGGUGGGAGUACAUGGCCACGCUGUAUUGGCAGAGGUAGGGUUUGCUUUUUAAUACUCGUUCUCACUUUAAAUUUCACCAGGGAGGGGUUUGGGAAGCGCUGCGUGUUUGGGGUGCGUUUGGCGCUUCCCGGUCUCUCCAGUCUACAAGGCAGGAGUUGGCGAGCGCUUAGUGACGAGCGACGAUUUUAAAAGCAGAAUAAAGGCUUUUCCGUGUGUGCCCCACAGCCCCUCCAGCUCGAAUAAUGAAGAGACUGUCAGUGCACUCUGCAAGCGGCGGCCCAUUGUACGCAGCUGGAGAGGAGGCGAUGGGGGCCGGCGAGGGCUCCUUGCCCUCGCCCUUCUCUCCUAGUAAACGCGCUCACGUCUCCUGGUCAGUUAAAAGGUGAAACGAACACGAUUAAAAAAUAAAAAGAAAAAAAAAGAAAAGAAAAAAGAAAGAGGAAAGAGAAAAAGACAAGAGAAAGAAAAAAAAAAAGGAAAGAAGGAAGAAAAAGAAAAAGAACGAGCUUUCUACAUAUAAAUUUUAAAUUUUACUCCCCAUAUAGUACAAAGGCAGGCAGUCGAGGGCUGAGGAAGUAGGCAGAGAGAGGGAGACAGGCAGAAGGGAAGAGAACGUGGAGAGAGACGGAGCGAGUGGAAGAGGAAGCGAGCGCGAGCGCCAGGGAACCAGAUGCCCCCUGGACACCUGGCCCUUGGGCCCAGCCGCCCUCGGACACUGGACCGGGAGUCGUGGGCACCAGAAGCGAGACUCGGCCAAGUCCUGCCCCACCAGGCAAGGAUUGAGAAACGGAAAUACCACCACCCUCGAGCCAAACUUGUGAGGACUGAUUGCACAGGAACUGAUGCUCCAGAUGUUGCACUAGAGGCGCUGCAAGUGUGAGCAGGUAUUCUGGGUUUUAACAUUUCAGGAAUCAUCGUGACAGG